rnacentral:rRNA from 1 species
CGAAGGGGGCUAGCGUUGCUCGGAAUCACUGGGCGUAAAGGGUGCGUAGGCGGGUUUUUAAGUCAGGGGUGAAAUCCUGGAGCUCAACUCCAGAACUGCCUUUGAUACUGAAGAUCUUGAGUCCGGGAGAGGUGAGUGGAACUGCGAGUGUAGAGGUGAAAUUCGUAGAUAUUCGCAAGAACACCAGUGGCGAAGGCGGCUCACUGGCCCGGUACUGACGCUGAGGCACGAAAGCGUGGGAGCAAACAGGAUUAGAUACCCUGGUAGUCCACGCCGUAAACGAUGAAUGCCAGCCGUUAGUGGGUUUACUCACUAGUGGCGCAGCUAACGCUUUAAGCAUUCCGCCUGGGGAGUACGGUCGCGAAGAUUA